GACGAACGCUGGCGGCGUGCUUAACACAUGCAAGUCGAACGGUGAAGGGAUCAGCUUGCUGGUUCUGGAUGAGUGGCGAACGGGUGAGUAACACGUGAGUAACCUGCCCCCUUCUUCUGGAUAACCGCAUGAAAGUGUGGCUAAUACGGGAUAUUCUGGGUCUGUCGCAUGAUGGGUCUGGGAAAGAUAUUGUUUCGGUGGGGGAUGGGCUCGCGGCCUAUCAGCUUGUUGGAGGGGUGAUGGCCUACCAAGGCGGUGACGGGUAGCCGGCCUGAGAGGGUGGACGGUCACACUGGGACUGAGACACGGCCCAGACUCCUACGGGAGGCAGCAGUGGGGAAUAUUGCACAAUGGGCGCAAGCCUGAUGCAGCGACGCCGCGUGAGGGAUGGAGGCCUUCGGGUUGUAAACCUCUUUCGCCAGUGAAGCAGGCCUGCUCCUUGUGGGUGGGUUGACGGUAGCUGGAUAAGAAGCGCCGGCUAACUACGUG
rnacentral:rRNA from 1 species